rnacentral:rRNA from 1 species
CUGACCUCAAAUCAGGUGGGACUACCCGCUGAACUUAAGCAUAUCAAUAAGCGGAGGCAAACAGACA